rnacentral:rRNA from 1 species
GAAUGGCACCACGAGGGUUAAACUGUCUCCUUUUUUUGAUCAGUGAAACUAAUCUCCCCGUGAAAAAGCGGGGAUACUUAUAUAAGACGAGAAGACCCUAUGGAGCUUUAAACAAACUAACAUCCGCUACCACUUAAUUACUUUCAGAAUUACAACAAAAAAUAUAGCAAUUUGAUUAUAAGUUUUCGAUUGGGGUGAUCACGGAGUAAAAAACAACCUCCACGACGAACGGACUAAACUCCUUAACAAAAAGCUACAACUUUAUGCAUUAACAUAUUAGCGCCUUUGACCCAUUAUUUGAUCAACGAACCAAGUUACCCUAGGGAUAACAGCGCAAUCUACUUCGAGAGCCCCUAUCGACAAGUGG